GGAUGUGAGGGCAAUCUGGCUGCAACAUCUAUUGCCUCAUUGAUCAUCAGGGUUGACUGGUGGAUCUGGCCAGCUAGGUGGGUGCCCUCAUCCUUCAAGGAUCCAUUUGCUGUGCACUCGGUAAAGAAGAAGACCAUCCCCAAUAAACGAGGACCGUGCUUCAGUCAAGGGUAUACACGUAGUUGUACUCCUCUGCUAGAACCUUCAGACAAGCUCUCAAAACAAGCCUCCUAGAUCUCCAAAAGUGUUCCACAGCUAUCUACCUACACCCCAAGCUCUCAAAAAGAGACUUCUGGG
rnacentral:snRNA from 1 species